rnacentral:rRNA from 1 species
GACGUAGGGGGCGAGCGUUGUCCGGAUUUAUUGGGCGUAAAGAGCUCGUAGGCGGCUCAGAAAGUCGGGUGUGAAACCUCCAGGCUCAACCUGGAGACGCCACCUGAUACUGCUGUGGCUAGAGUCCGGUAGGGGAACACGGAAUUCCCGGUGUAGCGGUGAAAUGCUUAGAUAUCGGGAGGAACACCAGUGGCGAAGGCGGUGUUCUGGGCCGGAACUGACGCUGAGGAGCGAAAGCGUGGGUAGCAAACAGGA